ACCCGAUUAUUUAAGGACCCUUAUUUUGGUGAGCAGAUAGGUGUCUUGGUGAUUCCGAGACCCUCGCGCCCCGGCAUUUCCGGGUUCCCGCUUCCGUUUUAGAGCGGCGCUGGUGACGCGUGCAUUGUGGCGAAUUGGCGCCAGAGAUCGCGUAAAGCGAUCGCAACAUUUAGCCGGUGGCUGAAUGAUGAGUAUGUAUGUCGAGCCGCGGUGCCUGAGCCAGUGAGUCUUGGUGGGAUGGGGAGGCUACCUGCAUUUAUUCGGUGGCGUGCUUCAGUGUGCCAACACAACUUCCUUAUGGUGCAAGUAGUGUGAUUUUUGGUGUGACUUGCAGUGGGUUUGGAUGAUGAGUUGUAGCUGGCCUGCCUUGUCCCUGCCAAGCCUGGGCCUCGAAAAGUCCUUAGUUUUAAAACCCUCAUUGUGCUCCAUGGGAAAGUGAUUUUAUAUUUUCAUGGCAAGUUUUAAAUGAUGCUGAAGUGUCAUAAUAAAUUUAUUUGUGCCCAUGUC